UACGGAGGGUGCAAGCGUUAUCCGGAUUUAUUGGGUUUAAAGGGUGCGUAGGCGGCCUUUUAAGUCAGUGGUGAAAACCUGCGGCUCAACCGUAGGCGUGCCAUUGAAACUGAAGGGCUUGAGUAACCAUGAGGCAGGCGGAAUGUGUAGUGUAGCGGUGAAAUGCUUAGAUAUUACACAGAACACCGAUUGCGUAGGCAGCUUGCUAAAGGUUCACUGACGCUGAUGCACGAAAGCGUGGGGAUCGAACAGG
rnacentral:rRNA from 1 species